rnacentral:rRNA from 1 species
UACAGAGGUCUCAAGCGUUGUUCGGAUUCAUUGGGCGUAAAGGGCGCGUAGGCGGCGGGGUAAGUCGGGUGUGAAAUCUCAGGGCUCAACCCUGAAACUGCACUCGAUACUGCUCUGCUUGAGGACUGGAGAGGAGACUGGAAUUUACGGUGUAGCGGUGAAAUGCGUAGAUAUCGUAAGGAAGACCAGUGGCGAAGGCGGGUCUCUGGACAGUUCCUGACGCUGAGGCACGAAGGUCAGGGGAGCAAACGGG